CCUACGGGUGGCAGCAGUGGGGAAUAUUGGGCAAUGGGCGCAAGCCUGACCCAGCAACGCCGCGUGAAGGAAGAAGGCCCCCGGGUUGUAAACUUCUUUUAUUCGAGACGAAACAAAUGACGGUACCGAAUGACUAAGCCACGGCUAACUACGUGCCAGCAGCCGCGGGAAUACGUCGGUGGCAAGCGUUAUCCGGAUUUACGGGGUGUAAAGGGCGUGUAGGCGGGAGAGCAAGUCAGACGUGAAAUUCCAGGGCUCAACCCUGGAACUGCGUUUGAAACUGUUCUUCUUGAGUGAGGGAGAGGCAGGCGGAAUUCCGUGUGUAGCGGUGAAAUGCGUAGAUAUACGGAGGAACACCAGUGGCGAAGGCGGCCUGCUGGACAUUAACUGACGCUGAGGCGCGAAAGCGUGGGGAGCAAACAGGAUUAGAUACCCCUGUAGUC
rnacentral:rRNA from 1 species